rnacentral:rRNA from 1 species
GACGAACGCUGGCGGCGUGCUUAACACAUGCAAGUCGAACGGAAAGGCCCUGCUUUUGUGGGGUGCUCGAGUGGCGAACGGGUGAGUAACACGUGAGUAACCUGCCCUUGACUUUGGGAUAACUUCAGGAAACUGGGGCUAAUACCGGAUAGGAGCUCCUGCUGCAUGGGGGGGGUUGGAAAGUUUCGGCUGUGGGGGAUGGACUCGCGGCUUAUCAGCUUGUGGGGGGGGUAGUGGCUUACCAAGGCUUUGACGGGUAGCCGGCCUGGGAGGGUGGCCGGCCACAUUGGGACUGCGGUACGGCCCAGACUCCUACGGGAGGCAGCAGUGGGGAAUAUUGCACAAUGGGCGGAAGCCUGAUGCAGCGACGCCGCGUGCGGGAUGACGGCCUUCGAGUUGUAAACCGUUUUCGCCUGUGACGAAGCGUGAGUGACGGUAAUGUGUAAAGAAGCACCGGCUAACUACGUG